GAUGAACGCUGGCGGCGUGCCUAAUACAUGCAAGUCGAGCGAACGGACGAGAAGCUUGCUUCUCUGAUGUUAGCGGCGGACGGGUGAGUAACACGUGGAUAACCUACCUAUAAGACUGGGAUAACUUCGGGAAACCGUAGCUAAUACCGGAUAAUAUUUUGAACCGCAUGGUUCAAAAGUGAAAGACGGUCUUGCUGUCACUUAUAGAUGGAUCCGCGCUGCAUUAGCUAGUUGGUAAGGUAACGGCUUACCAAGGCAACGAUGCAUAGCCGACCUGAGAGGGUGAUCGGCCACACUGGAACUGAGACACGGUCCAGACUCCUACGGGAGGCAGCAGUAGGGAAUCUUCCGCAAUGGGCGAAAGCCUGACGGAGCAACGCCGCGUGAGUGAUGAAGGUCUUCGGAUCGUAAAACUCUGUUAUUAGGGAAGAACAUAUGUGUAAGUAACUGUGCACAUCUUGACGGUACCUAAUCAGAAAGCCACGGCUAACUACGUGCCAGCAGCCGCGGUAAUACGUAGGUGGCAAGCGUUAUCCGGAAUUAUUGGGCGUAAAGCGCGCGUAGGCGGUUUUUUAAGUCUGAUGUGAAAGCCCACGGCUCAACCGUGGAGGGUCAUUGGAAACUGGAAAACUUGAGUGCAGAAGAGGAAAGUGGAAUUCCAUGUGUAGCGGUGAAAUGCGCAGAGAUAUGGAGGAACACCAGUGGCGAAGGCGACUUUCUGGUCUGUAACUGACGCUGAUGUGCGAAAGCGUGGGGAUCAAACAGGAUUAGAUACCCUGGUAGUCCACGCCGUAAACGAUGAGUGCUAAGUGUUAGGGGGUUUCCGCCCCUUAGUGCUGCAGCUAACGCAUUAAGCACUCCGCCUGGGGAGUACGACCGCAAGGUUGAAACUCAAAGGAAUUGACGGGGACCCGCACAAGCGGUGGAGCAUGUGGUUUAAUUCGAAGCAACGCGAAGAACCUUACCAAAUCUUGACAUCCUUUGACAACUCUAGAGAUAGAGCCUUCCCCUUCGGGGGACAAAGUGACAGGUGGUGCAUGGUUGUCGUCAGCUCGUGUCGUGAGAUGUUGGGUUAAGUCCCGCAACGAGCGCAACCCUUAAGCUUAGUUGCCAUCAUUAAGUUGGGCACUCUAAGUUGACUGCCGGUGACAAACCGGAGGAAGGUGGGGAUGACGUCAAAUCAUCAUGCCCCUUAUGAUUUGGGCUACACACGUGCUACAAUGGACAAUACAAAGGGCAGCGAAACCGCGAGGUCAAGCAAAUCCCAUAAAGUUGUUCUCAGUUCGGGUUGUAGUCUGCAACUCGACUACAUGAAGCUGGAAUCGCUAGUAAUCGUAGAUCAGCAUGCUACGGUGAAUACGUUCCCGGGUCU
rnacentral:rRNA from 1 species